CCUACGGGUGGCUGCAGUGAGGAAUAUUGGUCAAUGGCCGGAAGGCUGAACCAGCCAAGCCGCGUGCAGGAAGAAGUAUUUCGGUAUGUAAAGCCCUAUCAGCAGGGAAGAAGAUGACGGUACCUGAGUAAGAAGCCCCGGCUAACUACGUGCCAGCAGCCGCGGUAAUACGUAGGGGGCAAGCGUUAUCCGGAUUUACUGGGUGUAAAGGGGGCGUAGACGGUGGGACAAGUCUGAAGGGAAAGCCGGGGGGCUAACCCCGGGACUGCUUUUGAAACUGCCUGACUGGAGUGCAGGAGAGGCAAGCGGAAUUCCUAGUGUAGCGGUGAAAUGCGUAGAUAUUAGGAAGAACACCAAUGGCGAAGGCAGCUUGCUGGACAGUAACUGACGUUGAGGCACGAAAGCGUGGGGAGCAAACAGGAUUAGAUACCCUUGUAGUC
rnacentral:rRNA from 1 species